CUUUAUACAAGUGAUUCAUUAUGGUUUAUCAAAAGAUUCCUUUUUGAUAUUAGGUUCCAUGUAGCGUUGUGAGAAAAUUUAGAAAUAGGUUGUCGUUCUGUUAACCGAUGAUGUUACGAGAUAGAAAGAAAUUGUAUCAAGUAGCAUUAAAUUGUUUCAAAUAUUCGAUACACGAACUGAUGAACGUAUCCGCUCCGGAAAUGGAGGCGUUUCAAACAUUACUCCCUGCUUCUUUAAAUCGAACUAUAUAUUCUUUGAUGCAAACUACUUGCGACGUAUACAAAUGAAAAAGUAUCGAAACUGAAGCGAGUAACAGACGUUUUGCACUGAUAAUCAGAAACUAUUAUAUGCAGCAACGUACGGUAACUCGGUUACGUUGAUUUCUAAUUAACUUAUCUUUGACGAUGAUAUGGAUUACUCGUAAUAUAUGUACACAAGAUAUAAAAACUAUUUAAAAGCUUAACGAGCAGUAAAUUCGCGUUGUCAGCACAACCGAGUUGUCACGUACGCUAGCGUAUAGAAAUUUCAAUCAACCACGUGUCCAUUUCACAAACUGCUAAAACUUCAAAGAGUAAGAAAUAUUUUAGACUACUCAUCAGAGAAUAACUAUGCUGACGAAUUACCAUGUAAUAUACGCUAUAAUGUACGAAAGUCUAAUUAUUUACACGUGUUGUUGUUACCACGUUAAUCAAAUGCCACAAUGCGAGCUAUUGAAACAUGGAAAGAUAAUGAGAAACGUUUAAAGAUACGAUAAGUAAUAGACUUGCUACCCUGACGCACAGCAACUAUUGUAUACGCUAGUAUAGAAGAACUCGGUCAUUCAUACUCAGGGAUCGUUAUCAUGCUAGCGCGUCAGUGUUUCACAAUACGAUCCGAUGAGGCGUGUACGGACAAAGAGGAACGUUUAAAAACACGGCAAAAUGCACUGUAUCGGGUUCACCGAUAGAAUUAUUCAUGCUGGGUUGUUACGUUGAAACGAACGUUUCUUCUAAUUGCUAUAAAUUAUUCGACGUAACGAAGCUUCGUGAUUUCAACGAUGAUCUUUGGUGCUUUAAUAAUACAUCGAUAAAAUAAAUAAUUCAGCUAGAUUCUCAUCGCAGAAGAAGAAGAAAUAAAACGUUUCGAGGAAGUUAAAAGGCAUAAAAUCCCGUUUCCGUUAAAAUUAUACUUCUUUCGUGUAUUGUUCCACUUCCUGGCGAAUUACCAUGCGGUUUAUUAACAAACUUGGCCACCGUAGUUUAAGGAUUCUUGGUAGAAUCUCGAGGGUAGAAUAAAAACGUACGUUGCGAUGAACUCGAAGAAGAUGAUCGUCGAUACUGUGAUAAAUAAUUCAACAACCGCGCAGGAUUUCCGUCGAAGAAAUUUAGAAUCAUUUCGACGAAGCUAAGGACCGUAAAGCUUUACAGAAAUCAUAAUUCCUUUCCACGUUUACGCGAAAGAGUAAUAAACCAUUUAUUGGUGAAACUUUCGAGUGAUUGCGUUUUAUUACGAGUUAACGCGGCAUUGUGUGUUUAACUACUUCGUCUAAACAAUCUUUCGUAUUUCAGAAAAUAACUAAGUGUAUCGUAACGAGAACUUUUGUUGAAAAAACAGAUCUUAAGAAAUUUUGAAAGUCAAGAUGCGUAUCCUUUCAAUUUUACCGAAGAGCUUCAGGAUUUUUAAUUAUAUAGCACUUCCAUGUAAAUUAUCUAUUCUUGAAAAUCAUAUUAAAUUGAUUACUCGUAAAUGAUACUAUCGUAACAUACUACGAUUCUGAAGCAGCAGAAUAAAAUGAUUUCACCGGAAGAAGAUGAAAACAAUUUCUAAGAACAAAGUAUAACAAUCCAAUCUGGGAAAAACAAAAAUCAUCGUUCUAUGUAAAUAGCAUAGUGCUUGCCAAUAAAUUUCUCUUCUAAGUAUAAUGUUCGAGACUAUAAAUUAUCACGGUCUCCAUUAGGAAAACGAGAAGUCAUCCCGAAGAAAUUCGGAAACAGUAAAUCCUGCGAUCACUGCGGCAUCUUCGAGAAAACCGAUUAUCUUUGGAAUAACUGAGCGUAUUUCAUUUACUCAUUCUCACAUGACAAUUGUUCUUAUCUCAAAUGAGUAAUCAAUUAAAGAUUUCCAAAGAUACACUUCCAGUAAAAAAAAAAAAAAAACGAAUUUAUUUAUCAAAUGGCUCACAUUAAGACAAUGACUAAGAAUAACGAAAUUGCGUUUGAUGUUUUAUUUUUGAGAAAAUUGGCUUCCGAAACUUGUACACAUAUACAUAUUUGACUAAUUUCCGACCGAACGAAUAUAUUUUUCUUAUAUACUUUUUAAUAAAGCGUUUGCAUUCCCUUAUUCCUGCAUAUAAAAUAUGCCGUACAGUUGUCUAGAAAGAAAGCCUGAAAUACUCUGUAUAUGUAUUUCUUGGCAAAGAUCGAAACUGCACGUAAAUAAUGAAAUAUUCAUUAAACCAAGAAACUGUUCUUCCACGGCCAGUUAUAUCACUAAUUAUUAUACACAGCGUUACGUAUUUAAUUAAUUUAACGCGAGGAUAACGCGCAUCUCAUUAACGCUCACGGCAUCGAAAGUUAUGCACGACGUUGCACUUCUCUCUGAUAAGUUGCACGCUCAUUCUGAAUUUCAUAACUCGCGUAAGCUCGGGCACGGAUUAAUCGCAGCUCGACAUUCGCCGAACCCGCCACGAUCCAUGGAUUACUUAUCGCGAUCGCUCGAUCAGUACGGAACAUGUACAGUACAUGAGUAGAAACACGUUCCGAACGAUUUCGAACUGUUUCAAGGUGAUAUCACAUUUGCCCUAUAUUCGAAUUUCUGGGUUAACAGGUACUCAUAGGAUCGUUACCAAUUCGUCGUAUCUUGGCACGAUUGUCGUGAAUUAAGUGUAUCAGCAAACGAUGUCGAGAUCGUGUUUCCUUUUUAACCU